AUUGAACGCUGGCGGCAGGCCUAACACAUGCAAGUCGAACGGUAACAGGAAGAAGCUUGCUUCUUUGCUGACGAGUGGCGGACGGGUGAGUAAUGUCUGGGAAACUGCCUGAUGGAGGGGGAUAACUACUGGAAACGGUAGCUAAUACCGCAUAACGUCGCAAGACCAAAGAGGGGGACCUUCGGGCCUCUUGCCCUCGGAUGUGCCCAGAUGGGAUUAGCUAGUAGGUGGGGUAACGGCUCACCUAGGCGACGAUCCCUAGCUGGUCUGAGAGGAUGACCAGCCACACUGGAACUGAGACACGGUCCAGACUCCUACGGGAGGCAGCAGUGGGGAAUAUUGCACAAUGGGCGCAAGCCUGAUGCAGCCAUGCCGCGUGUAUGAAGAAGGCCUUCGGGUUGUAAAGUACUUUCAGCGGGGAGGAAGGGAGGAAAGUUAAUACCUUUGCUCAUUGACGUUACCCGCAGAAGAAGCACCGGCUAACUCCGUG
rnacentral:rRNA from 1 species